rnacentral:lncRNA from 1 species
CUAGCCUGAAUCCUCAAUAACAAUCAUUUAAUUGGAAUGAACUAUAAAGAUUGACUAAGAAACUUAAAAAAUAUUUUAAGUUUAAAAAAGCUUAGCUAUAUACUUGACCAGAAUACCUUGAUAUUAUCAAAUCGUUCAACCACUAACCAAUUGAAAGUGCUUGAAAAAUGGAUAAAUGACGAUAACAAAGUCAGGUGCUACAUUUUGACAUCAAUGUCUAAUAAACUCCAAUGCCAGUAUG